ACCUGCCCUUGGGUCCGGCAUAACCCCGGGAAACUGGGGAUAAUUCCGGAUAACGCACAUAUGCUGGAAUGCUUUAUGCGUCAAAUGGAUUCGUCUGCCCAAGGAUGGGUCUGCGGCCUAUCAGGUAGUAGUGGGUGUAAUGUACCUACUAGCCGACGACGGGUACGGGUUGUGAGAGCAAGAGCCCGGAGAUGGAUUCUGAGACAUGAAUCCAGGCCCUACGGGGCGCAGCAGGCGCGAAAACUUUACAAUGCGGGAAACCGUGAUAAGGGGACACCGAGUGCCAGCAUCAUAUGCUGGCUGUCCGGGUGUGUAAAAUACACCUGUUAGCAAGGGCCGGGCAAGACCGGUGCCAGCCGCCGCGGUAACACCGGGGGCCCGAGUGGUGAUCGUGAUUAUUGGGUCUAAAGGGUCCGUAGCCGGUUUGGUCAGUCCUCCGGGAAAUCUGACGGCUUAACCGUUAGGCUUUCGGAGGAUACUGCCAGGCUUGGAACCGGGAGAGGUAAGAGGUACUACAGGGGUAGGAGUGAAAUCUUGUAAUCCCUGUGGGACCACCUGUGGCGAAGGCGUCUUACCAGAACGGGUUCGACGGUGAGGGACGAAAGCUGGGGGCACGAACCGGAUUAGAUACCCGGGCAGUCCC
rnacentral:rRNA from 1 species